UACAGAGGUCUCAAGCGUUGUUCGGAUUCAUUGGGCGUAAAGGGUGCGUAGGUGGUGCCGUAAGUCAGGUGUGAAAUCUCGGGGCUCAACCCCGAAACUGCACUUGAUACUGCGGUGCUCGAGGACUGGAGAGGAGAUUGGAAUUCAUGGUGUAGCAGUGAAAUGCGUAGAUAUCAUGAGGAAGACCAGUGGCGAAGGCGGAUCUCUGGACAGUUCCUGACACUGAGGCACGAAGGCCAGGGGAGCAAACGGG
rnacentral:rRNA from 1 species